AGAGUUUGAUUAUGGCUCAGGAUGAACGCUAGCUACAGGCUUAACACAUGCAAGUCGAAGGGCAGCAUUGGAGUAGCAAUACUCAGAUGGCGACCGGCGCACGGGUGAGUAACACGUAUCCAACCUGCCGCUUACUCGGGGAUAGCCUUUCGAAAGAAAGAUUAAUACCCGAUGGUAUAAAGAGUUCGCAUGUUCUCUUUAUUAAAGAAUUUCGGUAAGCGAUGGGGAUGCGUUCCAUUAGAUAGUUGGCGGGGUAACGGCCCACCAAGUCUACGAUGGAUAGGGGUUCUGAGAGGAAGGUCCCCCACAUUGGAACUGAGACACGGUCCAAACUCCUACGGGAGGCAGCAGUGAGGAAUAUUGGUCAAUGGACGAGAGUCUGAACCAGCCAAAGUAGCGUGAAGGAUGACUGCCCUAUGGGUUGUAAACUUCUUUUAUAAGGGAAUAAAGUGAGGGACGUGUCCCUUUUUGUAUGUACCUUAUGAAUAAGGAUCGGCUAACUCCGUGCCAGCCGCGGC
rnacentral:rRNA from 1 species